AAUCUGUGGUGUGGACAGUCUCGUUGGAAGACCUGGAAUCUAAUCCACACAUCUUUAAAAGACUCUCCAGUCUCCUGCGCGAACGUAGCAAUUUUACUCCUCAAGUCU
rfam:Brassica rapa chromosome A2, whole genome shotgun sequence.